rnacentral:rRNA from 1 species
GACGAACGCUGGCGGCGUGCUUAACACAUGCAAGUCGAACGGAAAGGCCCUGCUUUUGUGGGGUGCUCGAGUGGCGAACGGGUGAGUAACACGUGAGUAACCUGCCCUUGACUUUGGGAUAACUUCAGGAAACUGGGGCUAAUACCGGAUAGGAGCUCCUGCUGCAUGGUGGGGGUUGGAAAGUUUCGGCGGUUGGGGAUGGACUCGCGGCUUAUCAGCUUGUUGGUGGGGUAGUGGCUUACCAAGGCUUUGACGGGUAGCCGGCCUGAGAGGGUGACCGGCCACAUUGGGACUGGGAUCCGGCCCAGACUCCUACGGGGGGCAGCGGGGGGGAAUAUUGCACAAUGGGGGGAAGCCUGAUGCAGCAACGCCGCGUGGGGGAUGACGGCCUUCGGGUUGUAAACCGCUUUCGCCUGUGACGAAGCGUGAGUGACGGUAAUGGGGAAAGAAGCACCGGCUAACUACGG